UCCGGAGGGUGCGAGCGUUGUUCGGAAUCACUGGGCGUAAAGGGCGUGUAGGCGGUCCGCUAAGUCUGAUGUGAAAGCCCGGGGCUCACCCCCGGAAGGGCAUUGGAAACUGGCGGACUCGAGUCUCGGAGAGGAAGGUGGAAUUCCUGGUGUAGCGGUGAAAUGCGUAGAUAUCAGGAGGAAUACCGGUGGCGAAGGCGGCCUUCUGGACGAUGACUGACGCUGAGACGCGAAAGCGUGGGGAGCAAACAGG
rnacentral:rRNA from 1 species